rnacentral:rRNA from 1 species
ACAAGUCGAGCAGGGACGAAAGUCGGGCAAAGUGAUCCUACGGUUCCGUGUGGAAGGGCCGUGGCUUAUCGGAUAAAAGCUACGCCAGGGAUAACAGGCUAAUCUUGCCCAAGAGUUCAUAUCGACGGCAAGGAUUGGCACCUCGAUGUCGGCUCGUCGCAUCCUGGGGCUGUAGUUGGUCCCAAGGGUUGGGCUGUUCGCCCAUUAAAGCGGCACGCGAGCUGGGUUCAGACCGUCGUGAGACAGGUCGGUCUCUAUCCGUCGUGGGCGUUAGAGAUUUGAGGGGAGCUGUCUUUAGUACGAGAGGAUUAAGAUGGACAGACCUCUGGUGUGCCAGUUGUUCCGCCAGGAGCAGUGCUGGGUAGCCAAGUCUGGAAGGGAUAAGCGCUGAAAGCAUCUCAAGUGCGAAGCCCACCCCAAGAUUAGAUCUCCCACCGGAAAUGGCGUCCAUUAGAGUUUACUUUGAUGGAUGCUUGACCGGAGAAGGCCGCAAGUAGACUACUUGCUUGAUAGGCGGCGUGUGUAAGCGGAGUAAUCCGUUCAGCUAAGCCGUACUAAUGGCCAAGACCUUGACCUG